rnacentral:rRNA from 1 species
AUUGAACGCUGGCGGCAUGCUUUACACAUGCAAGUCGAACGGCAGCGCGGGCUUUGGCCUGGCGGCGAGUGGCGAACGGGUGAGUAAUGCAUCGGAACGUGCCUAGUAGUGGGGGAUAGCCCGGCGAAAGCCGGAUUAAUACCGCAUACGACCUGAGGGUGAAAGCGGGGGACCGAAAGGCCUCGCGCUAUUGGAGCGGCCGAUGUCGGAUUAGCUAGUUGGUGGGGUAAAGGCUUACCAAGGCGACGAUCCGUAGCUGGUCUGAGAGGACGACCAGCCACACUGGGACUGAGACACGGCCCAGACUCCUACGGGAGGCAGCAGUGGGGAAUUUUGGACAAUGGGGGCAACCCUGAUCCAGCCAUGCCGCGUGCGGGAAGAAGGCCUUCGGGUUGUAAACCGCUUUUGUUCGGGAAGAAAUCCUCUAGGCUAAUACCCCGGGGGGAUGACGGUACCGGAAGAAUAAGCACCGGCUAACUACAUG